GACGAACGCUGGCGGCGUGCUUAACACAUGCAAGUCGAACGGUGAAAGGGAGCUUGCUCCCUGGAUCAGUGGCGAACGGGUGAGUAACACGUGGGCAACCUGCCCCAGACUUCGGGAUAACGCUUCGAAAGAGGUGCUAAUACCGGAUACGAACUCCUUGGGCAUCCUUGGAGUUGGAAAGUUUUUCGGUCUGGGAUGGGCCCGCGGCCUAUCAGCUUGUUGGUGAGGUAACGGCUCACCAAGGCGACGACGGGUAGCCGGCCUGAGAGGGCGACCGGCCACACUGGGACUGAGACACGGCCCAGACUCCUACGGGAGGCAGCAGUGGGGAAUAUUGCGCAAUGGGCGAAAGCCUGACGCAGCAACGCCGCGUGAGGGAUGACGGCCUUCGGGUUGUAAACCUCUUUCAGCAGGGAAGAAGCGAAAGUGACGGUACCUGCAGAAGAAGCACCGGCUAACUACGUGCCAGCCGCCGCUGUAA
rnacentral:rRNA from 1 species